AGAGUGAACGCUGGCGGCAGGCCUAAUACAUGCAAGUCGAACGGCAGCACGGCAGAGCUUGCUCUGUGGGUGGCGAGUGGCGGACGGGUGAGGAAUACAUGGGAAUCUGCCCAGUCGUGGGGGAUAACGUAUGGAAACGUACGCUAAUACCGCAUGCGCCCGUUCGGGGGAAA
rnacentral:rRNA from 1 species